rnacentral:lncRNA from 1 species
ACUGUUACCAGUGUGAGUUUAUUACUUAAGGUCACUUUUUAAAAGACCAGACUAAAGUGUAUUGCUGCUUUUUUAGGAGGCAGCCGCAAUGCAGGAAGGGAAGAUCCACCCUCUUGAGUCGAAGACGUCGAAUCACCCCGCUGCAGACAGGCAGGUCUGUGCACACCCUACCGAGGUCCCGAGUCACGCGGAAGACACCGAAUCACCCCUCUGCAGACAGGCAGCCACCUGGUUCCACACUACAAAGAUGCAGAGGACACAAGACCACCAGACCAAGGUCAUACAAAUCAAGGAGUGAUGAUGUUUUCCUUCAGAGCUCCACCUGUGCACAUGGUGUUGAUGUCGUCUCUCUUGCUAGGUGUCAGGACUGUCGGACAGCAGGUCAGUGAGAGUCUACACUUCAGGUCAUUGAUGUUUGUUUCUGCUUCCUAGUGCUGAGAUAGAAG